rnacentral:rRNA from 1 species
UACGUAGGGUGCGAGCGUUGUCCGGAAUUACUGGGCGUAAAGAGCUCGUAGGUGGUUUGUCGCGUUGUCCGUGAAAACUCACAGCUUAACUGUGGGCGUGCGGGCGAUACGGGCAGACUGGAGUACUGCAGGGGAGACUGGAAUUCCUGGUGUAGCGGUGGAAUGCGCAGAUAUCAGGAGGAACACCGAUGGCGAAGGCAGCUCACUGGGACGGUACCGACGUUCAGGCACGGAAAGCGUGGGGAGCAAACAGG